ACGAACCGUGCGAACGUUGUUCGGAAUCACUGGGCUUAAAGGGCGCGUAGGCGGAGGGUCCAGUCGGUGGUGAAAUCCUUCCGCUUAACGGGAGAAUGGCCGCCGAUACUGACUCUCUCGAGGGAGGUAGGGGCAUGUGGAACUUCCGGUGGAGCGGUGAAAUGCGUAGAUAUCGGAAGGAACGCCGGUGGCGAAAGCGACGUGCUGGACCUCUUCUGACGCUGAGGCGCGAAAGCCAGGGGAGCAAACGGGA
rnacentral:rRNA from 1 species